rnacentral:rRNA from 1 species
CCUACGGGUGACAGCAGUAGGGAAUAUUGCUCAAUGGGGGAAACCCUGAAGCAGCAACGCCGCGUGGAGGAUGAAGGUUUUCGGAUUGUAAACUCCUUUUGUUAGAGAAGAUAAUGACGGUAUCUAACGAAUAAGCACCGGCUAACUCCGUGCCAGCAGCCGCGGUAAUACGGAGGGUGCAAGCGUUACUCGGAAUCACUGGGCGGAAAGAGCGCGUAGGCGGGAUAGCAAGUCAGAUGUGAAAUCCUAUGGCUUAACCAUAGAACUGCAUUUGAAACUGUUAUUCUAGAGUAUGGGAGAUGUAGGUGGAAUUCUUGGUGUAGGGGUAAAAUCCGUAGAGAUCAAGAGGAAUACUCAUUGCGAAGGCGACCUGCUAGAACAUAACUGACGCUGAUGCGCGAAAGCGUGGGGAGCAAACAGGAUUAGAUACCCCAGUAGUC